UACAUCUUGGUGUAUGGUGCACUUUAGCUUUUGAUGCUUGGCGGUGAUAGUUUGACUCUGUCGGAUGUAA
rnacentral:tRNA from 1 species